rnacentral:rRNA from 1 species
UGGGGAAUAUUGCACAAUGGGCGCAAGCCUGAUGCAGCCAUGCCGCGUGUAUGAAGAAGGCCUUCGGGUUGUAAAGUACUUUCAGUCGGGAGGAAGGUGGUAAGGUUAAUAACCUUAUCAAUUGACGUUACCGACAGAAGAAGCACCGGCUAACUCCGUGCCAGCAGCCGCGGUAAUACGGAGGGUGCAAGCGUUAAUCGGAAUUACUGGGCGUAAAGCGCACGCAGGCGGUUGAUUGAGUCAGAUGUGAAAUCCCCGGGCUUAACCCGGGAAUUGCCGCUGAUACUGGUCAGCUAGAGUCUUGUAGAGGGGGGUAGAAUGCCAUGUGUAGCGGUGAAAUGCGUAGAGAUGUGGAGGAAUGCCGGUGGCGAAGGCGGCCCCCUGGACAAAGACUGACGCUCAGGUGCGAAAGCGUGGGGAGCAAACAGG